GAAGAUUCAACAGCCAUGUUGGAUUGCUUGUCUCGGUCUGCAAACCAGUUCCAUAGUAAUCUAAAGUUUGGGGAAACUGCUGUUGAGCUUUGUUAAUAAAUAUGCCAAACAGUGGACUCCACUGCAAGUAGCAAUGAUGGGCCAUAUUUGUGGACAUCACAAGACGUUCUUGCAGAAGACCAUAAGUUCCACCUUAAAGAGGGCUGACCAGAUGACCAACCAAUGCUGCAGUGGUCACCUCAUUUUGUACACAUUUUGAAGACACAUAAUUGUAUCAGAGAAACAUCUUCUCAUGCUGUGUUUGGUGUCCCUAUUAUGUGUUACUGAAGUGUAUUAAAAGUGGCAUAAAAAACAGGGA